CUUUUUGAUUAUAAUUUAAGGUCUAGCCUGCCCUAUGAAAUAUAAAUUAAAUGGCCGCAGUAUUCUGACUGUGCAAAGGUAGCAUAAUAAUUAGUUUCUUAAUUAGAAGCUGGAAUGAAAGGUUGGAUGAGAAAAUAACUGUCUCUAUUAAAAUUAAUUAAAAUUUUAUUUUUAAGUUAAAAAGCUUAAAUUUCUAUAAAAGACGAGAAGACCCUAUAGAGUUUUAUAUUUAUGGUAUUAAAAUUAUAUUAGUAUUUUAAUAAAUUAAUAUUUGAAUUAUUGGAUUGGGGUGAUUAAAAAAUUAAUUAAACUUUUUUUGUAUUUUAACAAUAAUGAUUGAUAGUUUGAUCCUUUAUUUAAGAUUAAAAGAAUAAAUUACCUUAGGGAUAACAGCGUAAUUUUUUUUUAGAGUUCUAAUCGAAAGAVAAGAUUGCGACCUCGAUGUUGGAUUAAAAUUUAAUUUUGGUGBAGAAGCUAGA
rnacentral:rRNA from 1 species